rnacentral:rRNA from 1 species
UACGGAGGGUGCAAGCGUUAUCCGGAAUCAUUGGGUUUAAAGGGUCCGUAGGUGGAUUAAUAAGUCAGUGGUGAAAGUCUUCCGCUCAACGGGAGAACUGCCAUUGAUACUGUUAAUCUUGAAUUGUUAUGAAGUAGCUAGAAUAUGUGGUGUAGCGGUGAAAUGCAUAGAUAUCACAUAGAAUACCGAUUGCGAAGGCAGGCUACUAAUAAUAUAUUGACACUGAUGGACGAAAGCGUGGGGAGCGAACGGG